UUUCAGUUCUGAUAUUUCUGUACAAACCUGCAGAAAUGCUACAAGGAACUGAAAAUCAAGCCUUCAAGAAUGAUCGCCCACACCCUGGUGCUGGAGGGAUGCUUGAUGUGGGUGAGCCAGCCUCU